UGGAUACUUCUUAUAAAUGGUCAUUAUAUAAAUAAAAUAUAUAGUCUCUGUGUUUGCCUUCUUUCACUUAGCAGAAUGUUUUAAAGAUUCCUGUAUUAUAGCAUGUAUUGACACAUUAUUCCUUCUGAUGGUGGAAUGAUAUUGCAUUUUAUAGAUAUACUACACAUUAUUUAUCCAUUCCUCCAUUGGUGGAUGUUUGGGUUGGUUCCACUGUUGGUUAUGAUGAACAAUGUGGCUAUGAAACUUUGGGUACUUGUGUUCAUAUGGAUGUACGUGAUUAUUUGUGUUCAAUACAUGCUGCAGAGUGGAAUUGCUGAGUCAAGUGGUAACUUUAUGUUUAGAAUUUUGAGAAAUUGCCAAAUUGUUUUCUAAAAGAGGCUGCACCUUUUUGCAAACUCACCAGCAAAGUAUGAGGGUUCUAAUUUCUCCACAUCCUUGCCAAGGUUUGUUAUUGCUUGUUACUUAUUUAUUUAUUUUUUAAUUAUACCCAUCCUGAUGAUUGGAAUUUCAUUGUGGUUUGUAUCUGCAUUUCCCUAAUGACUAAUAAUGUUGAACACCUUUUUAUGUGCUUAUUGGACAUUUGCAUAUCUUCCUUGGAGAAAUAUCUAUUCAGAUCAUUUGCCAACUCUAAAAUUGGGUUAUUUGUAUUUUUAUUAUUGAGUUGUAAGAGUUUAAAAAUAUAUUCUGGAUACAAGUCCUUUAUUAGAUAUAUGAUUUGCAAAUAUUUUUUUCACUCUGAGUUGUUUUUCCCCUUUCUUGAUGAUCAUUUGCAGC
rnacentral:lncRNA from 1 species